GAGAGAGAGAGAGCGCAUUUUCUGGGUCCAUUUUCUCCUCAGUCAGUCUUCAUCAGUUCACCAUGAAAGGACGAGUUUCUUUUCAUCAAAAUGGACCAAAUUGAAUUUAACUAUCUAUAUUUCAUUGGAACAUUAUCUAUAUUUGCGCAACAUAUUUGGAUCUGGCAGCGAGGACUCGUGCGCGUUUGGCGCAAACGCCUCCUAGACAUAAUGCGCGUCAUUUCUUGUAAAUGUUACAGAAUCCAAAUCAAGGGGACGCGCCCUGCAAGUAUCCAAGCUGAACCUCCCUGAGCAGAAACACAUAAAUCAAGAGGAGGGAACUGAUUGUCUCCAUGAAACGAGCUCACAUCGUGGAGCGACAGAGAAAUGUCCUCCAUCAUAUGAUGGAGGACAUGCGUCACACAACAGAUGCAGAUGAUGCCCCACAAGAGAAAAGGCCCCGUGUGUUCACAAUCUACAGCAAAACAUGCCGGUCCCAGCCUGUGUGACGACAGCAGUUCAGCCCUGAAGCGCAUACACUUGAAACAAGGACUUUUAAUGGCGACUAGAAUACACGUCCGGACUUCUGUCGUGUUUGUAAGUACAACAAUAAGCCUGACAUCCUCUCUCUCCUUACAGCUGAGGGCCACUCAGCUGGCUUCCUGCUCAGCUAUGGCUCCCCCUAGCCGUACCUCCAUGUUUCCUUGUUACUGCACACCAUAAUGCCCUGGCCCUCCCUGCUGGAUCACACUAAAAAUGACAUCAAUAUACACCUGAAAACCUCACUUUCUCUGUGUAAAUGUUUACUUUACCGUCUUUAUCCACUUCCCAGCCGACACUGGGCACCAAUAGUCCCAACAGGACAGAGGAUUUCUUACCUUUUUGCCAAUGGCUCUACCAACACCUCCCUCUGAAACGUCCCAACCUCGAUAGCCUCCUUCUUCUUCCCAGCAAGCCCUGCAAAAAGGACACUUCCAUGUUUGUUGAAUGUGAGGGGGUGAUCAAAUUGGACUCAGUCUAUUAUAAAGAGCCCCAAAAAGCCCAAACAUCACCAAAAUGGUCAUUUUGGUUCAAAACAGACAAGGCUCAAAAAUGUUAUUUUAAAAUGGCACAUUAACGGCCUUUAACAAUAAAACCCACUCCUCACAUCCACCAUGGUCCACCCCUAUGGUUCAAACUUAUUUUGGUCCAUUCUGUAGUCCUACAGUUGAAACUACGGCACAAUUGUCAGUCAGUGCGCAGCUGAGCGCUCAGAGACUCUGUGCUGCUGUCUGUGCGUCUGCCAAGCCCUGGAGCAUGCUGGAGGAUGCAAAUGGUCUGUUUAUGGGGCAUGUUUGACACAAAGAGGCCCCUUUCUUAUGGACUGAGUGAAACAAGUCGAAAGAAAAGAUUUCCACAACAGUAGAAUCCAACAGAACAAAAAGAAAUCAGUGGGUCCAAAUUGGCUUCAACAAAAACGAGCAGGUGUAUCCAAAGGCAGAGAGAGCCCAACAAAGACUCCAGUGGCGGAAAGUGGAAGUUCUUCCUGGACAAAAGGCUGCCUGUGCUGUCCUGGUGCUCCCUGAAACUCUCCUCGCUCAUUUCCCACUUGAUCAGGACCGCGUCGACGUCACACGGUUCCUCUUUGACCACGAGGCUGCUGGGGGACGACGGUAGGUGCUGUCUCGCUUGCUCGGACACACCUGACGUCACACCUGACGUCUCUGAGGACGACUGGGAGGCGCAGGCCUGCUCCAGGCACAUUCUGCCGGG